UGGGCUCCGUAGGGUGAGGUGGCCGCGCCCCAGGACCAGACCCCAGGGUCAGGGCCAGGGCGUGCCAGGGUCCGCAGGGCGUCCCAUGCACCGUUUCCCCUGUUCAUCCUGAAAUCAGUGCAGGUGAAGGCAGCUGGCGCGGGCUGGCGGGGCGCCAGGGCCAGCACUAACAAGCAGUCCUCGGGCUUCCAGAAUGCAGAACGAGGAGGCAUUUUUUUUCUUAAGGAGGGAUAAAAAGGCUCAAAAAUGUAAAUCAUUACCGUUUACAACCAAGCGAGUCUGCUAAAUUGAUUAGGAGAGAUUAAACUCCUUGGAGGUGAAGGGAAAGGGGGAUUUUUUGUGGUUUAUGGACCUGUCCCAAGGGGCAGUCCACACAGCAGGGAUUUUUCUGGGCCUGGCUGAAGGGGCAGGGGCUCGUCUGCUCCUUUUGGGCAACUUGGAGAGCUGGGGGUCUCUGAGGGCUGACACAGUGUCCUUCAGAAGCUGUCCGUGCCCCCAGCCUGAGACUCUGGCCCUGCCCUCCAGACUCUGUGUGUCUUCAGGGCAACGAGCCAUGCCGUGGAGUAGCGGCUGGUGCUAUCGCUUCGUAGGACUGCUGUUCUGGGACCUGCUCCCUGGGCACAGGGAAAGGGUAGCCCAACCACUAGGGAAAACCGAAGGCAGGGAAAAGAGACUCUGGCCCAACAAAGGAAUCAGGCAGUGAGCUUCCCGUCACUAGGAGCAUUCAAGCUCUAGAUGGGGACAGGCAGACACUCUCCUGUGAGAGCCCGGUUGGGCUGACAACAAGACCCUGGUUCCAGCCUUGACCUAUCAGGAGAAGCACAGACACAGGCCACUGCUUCCCCAGCAGGAAGUGAGGAUGAGGGCUGACAGGGGCCACCUGCCGGCCCUCUGGCUCCAGAUUAGGCUGCCCCGGGGCCUGUUCUCUCAAGCCUGAGCCUCCCCACAGCCACCACCGCACUCGGGAGGUUGCUGGCUGAUCCAUCCAUCACGGCCAGUUGACGGCGCCUGGGGCACUGUUCACUCUGUGUUUUUAAGCCUUUACGAUUCUUUUGAAAUGUUCCAAGUAGUUGCCUGAAAUAUCUACAUUGGCUUCUUUUUAAAAAAAAACUGACAAAAAGAUCCCUUUCGCUCUCCACCCCCUUCCUGCCCGGCCCCCUUCUGCUCUGUGCUCCCCGCCAGCCUGGGCAUUUUUAAUAUGUGGUUUUUCUCUAGUUUGGGAAAUUCUGUUAUUCCUGGGGUCGGACCCACUCUUUCACCAUAAGGGAGGUUGCCAGGUGUGCCCAAGACCCCCGCCACCAUGGGGGAGGAUCCCCACCUCUUCUCUCCUGCCCCAGAGACGUCACGGCCAGGGCAGUUCUCGGCCCUGGGGCGGCUCCAGCUUCUGGAAGCUGAAGUGAAGUUUCAUCCCUGAAGUGCCCCGCUUCAGAGUGGGCACGCUGAGGGCAGUGUGCAGAUGAAUGGGCUGGCCAGCCCCACUUCCUCCAAGGCCAGACCCCGAGGCACUGUAGCCACUGGAGCAGGCCCCGUUGGCCCUGCGCCCAGGCCCCUGACCUCCCACACCCCCACCCAGGGGGUCCUUGCAGGAAGGUCUUUGCUCCCCGGGCCUCAAUCUCUACAGUUCCCACUCGGAUGGCCAAUGGGUGAGAGACCAGGUCCCCUUGCUCCCCGGCAGGGCCUGGGUGCAAGCCCCUUGCCCUCAGGAGCUCACGGAGGCCACACAGUGCCUGGCACACGGGAGCGCCGGAAAUCCUUUCUUCUCCUGCAGGCUCCUCUCAUGUCCUCCUCCCGCCUGCCCCCUUGGCUCCGCACCUGAGGCCUGAGUGUCGGCCACCAACAGGCUCCUCUUGUCCUACACCUGCUGCUCUGGUGGCCUGGCAUGGAGAGGGGCUCAUCCGGGCACUUCUCCUCUUGGAAGCGGCUCACCCCACUCUGCCGCGGAUCUUGCGCAUCUCCAGGCUGAGCCUGAGCCCGAGGGGGAGCCGUGGAUUCGUGAGAUCCAGCAAGGCUUCGGCCCCGUGGGUGACUCAGGUUCUCUUCUCCAAGUCUUGCCCUGCCUGGAGGCAGUACAGCAGCAGAGGGCCCGCCGCCCUGGCCAAGAACCCGCACCCUGCAGCCCUCCUGGAGGAACCCGUCAGGCCCUCUCAAGACAGACCCAGACAGGACAUGACCGACAAUCAAAGCCACGGUGGACCUGGGGUGCCCGGCUCAUCUCCCCAGAGCCAGGGGUUCUGAGUAGCUCCCACCUGCCCGGAUGGAAGACGUGCUGGCAUGUUCCAGACCACCCCUCACGACUAGUCCCUUCCUCCAAAAGUUCUGGGCCUCAAGGGGGAAGUCACACACACACACACACACACACACACACACAACCCUGAAAGUAGCCUUAGAUAUUCCCCCACAACCCAGCACAGCCGCCUGCCAGCAGCCUCGGCGGAGAAGCCCACAGGGCAUCCCGGGCAGGUUCAAGGGCAUAGAUAGGGACCCUGCUGUCUUCCAGCUCCUAAAAGAGGCUAAGAACUGUGGGGAGGCCUGGGCACUGGAUCUUCGUCAUCUGAGAGAGAGAGAGAAGUAGGGAGAGAUGAUGUUGAAGGCCGGGAGGUAGCAGGCUGUGGUCACAGGCUCGCGGGAGACCGUGGCUUAUGUGAUUCUGCUUGUUGGAGCCACCAGGCAGGUGUGAGCAGGGAGGCCAAGGGACCCCAACCCCCACGCAGCUGCAGAGUGAGUGUUUACCAGCCACCCUCAGCACCUCCUCGCCUGAUGUACUUGCUGGGUACGAGAAGCCUCCUGAGUGUGCCAGGGGCAAAGCGCUCUCGGGGGGUCUGAGCGAUGGCACCACCCCCGCUGCUGCCUGCUGCCGUCCGACCCGGCUGGCUGACAAGGCCUGGCUCCUCAAGGCCCAGCCGUGCCUGGCCUGGUGCCCGCCUGCCUCACUCCCAACCUCACCACCAGACAGGGGUUUCCAGAAAACCGCCACCCACCCGCCACCGCGACAACACAACCAAAGUGCACUGCGAACAGCCCUUGGGCCUCCUUCCUGUAGGUGCCUUGAACUUCAAUGUUGAGAUGAAUGUGAUUUAACUACUUGGUCCUAUUUUCUGUUUGUCUGUUUUCAUAUGAGAUGCCCAGGUCCACCUCCUUGUCCUUUCUUGAAAUAAAUAGAAAGAUUUAACUUU